rnacentral:rRNA from 1 species
GGGCUCGCAAUAUGAGGCCUGGCUUUCGCGGCCGGCUGAAGUAUUUUUUUCACCCAUGUCUUUUGCGCACUUGUUGUUUCCUGGGCGGGUUCGCCCGCCACCAGGACCAAACCAUAAACCUUUUUUUUCUUAUGCAGUUUCCAUCAGCGUCAGUAAAAACAAUGUAAUUAUUACAACUUUCAACAACGGAUCUCUUGGUUCUGGCAUCGAUGAAGAACGCAGCGAAAUGCGAUACGUAGUGUGAAUUGCAGAAUUCAGUGAAUCAUCGAAUCUUUGAACGCACAUUGCGCCCUUUGGUAUUCCAAAGGGCAUGCCUGUUCGAGCGUCAUUUGUACCUUCAAGCUUUGCUUGGUGUUGGGCGUUUUUUUGUCUCCCUCUUUCUGGGAGACUCGCCUUAAAACGAUUGGCAGCCGGCCUACUGGUUUCGGAGCGCAGCACAUUUUUUGCGCUUUGUAUCAGGAGAAAAGGACGGUACUCCAUCAAGACUCUACAUUUUUCACUUUUGACCUCGGAUCAGGUAGGGAUACCCGCUGAACUUAAGCAUAUCAAAAGUGGGAAGGAAA